rnacentral:lncRNA from 10 species
GCCAGAUUGAGCCCCUGGGCCAGCAGUUUGCAGCCUCUGACUUAACUGUGGUUUAGUAGCAGGAAUCUGCUUACCCUGUGGUCUUGAUGGUUCCAUGAGAACUAUGUGGAGAGGCAUACAUUGCUAUGUAAACAGGAGGGCAAAUUGGGGGCUUAUAUUUGCCCGUUAGAACAGAUGAUUUGAUCACCAUCCAAGCCCUGUUGUUUUAUAUUGAGCUUGAUAAACAUGGUUUUGGAACCAAUGAGGUGGAACUGCCUGCUUGUCUUUCUUUCCUAUUGUACGAUGCAUGUGAAUAAGCCAUUGUCAGGAAAAUAAGACUCUUGUUUUUCACAGAUACAUAAGGUGGACUUUGAUCCACAGAUGUGUACCAAAAUUGUAAAGUGGGCAAGUGUGUUUUUUGGCACCCCAAAUCGAGGCAUUCUGGGCCUUUUCCUUCCACCUUAUUUGACUUCAACCCCACAUCUACAUGCUAGGGUGCUCUAUGAUCUCAUCACAUCAAAAGGCGGGAAGUAACAACAGCAGCAAGACUGAAUUUAUGUUUACCAUUUACACGGGGCAUGGUUAUUCUCCUGUUAUUUGUUUCUCUAAACUGAACUUGGAGCGAACCCAUCCAUUUUCCACCUCAAGGUGGAACAGGAAGAUAAGGCAGAUCUGAGGGCUCCUCAGUGUGAAGUUGGAAAACUCUUCUCUCUAAAAUACACUAAAAGCCGAAGGCUGUUUCUUCAGUCUGAGGAAAGUCAGGUAAUCCACAUUUUCAUUAUAAUGGGGUAGGGCUUUUUGCUUACAUUUGGAAAGAGUUGCUUUGGAAAGUGUCUGUAAUUAUCAACUAAUAGCAGCAUAUUUUUGUUCCCUGUAAACUUUCUAUUAAAGAAAAUUAAGAACAUGAAGUUACAUGAAAAAACCCUCAAUUUGUACCAAAAACUUCUAUAGUAAUUUUCUUUUUUUUUUGAGACAGAGUCUGUGUUGCCCAGGCCAGAGCGCAAUGACGUGAUCUCAGCUCACUGCAACCUCUGCCUCCCUAGUUCAAGUGAUUCUCGUGCCUCAGCCACCUGAGUAGCUGGGAUUACAGGCAUGCACCACCAUCCAUUUUUAGUGGAGACAGGGUUUCACCAUGUUGGCCAGGCUGGUCUCAAACUCCUGGCCUCAAGUGAUCCACUCACCUUGGCCUCCCAAAGUGCUAGGAUUACAGGUGUGAACCACCAUGCCCGGCUAUAUUAAUUUUUUGAUUCAAUAAUAAAAGUUAAAAGAAUGUCUUCUGUUACUUACUGCAAAUUUUUUCAAAAGGUAAUUUAGCAACUGAUCUAAUUUAGCUUUCGCUCAAGACAACAAAAAUCCUAGACACCAAAUUCACUGUUUCAAAGGUAAUCCAAAGAUGUAGAAAAUGGUCUAUCAUGGGCCGCUGAGACAUAGUUAUAUCAUUGUGACCCUGCACCAUUUUCUCCAUGGUUCACAAGGCAAGAAAAAGUAUUAUAGCUAAAUGUAGUUUGGAAACAUCUUGAUGUUCUAAAAUAAACACAUUAAUUCACACUAUAAAUUACCUUGUACUUUACAAACUUUAUUAAAUAAUGGACGUUACUAACUUUCAUUAUCUUAUAUACAGUAUUUAAACU